rnacentral:lncRNA from 1 species
AUGUAUACGUCACUUUGUGUUUAUUAAAUGAAUAACUCAUAGUUUUUUUUGGUGUUUCUUGAUGCCAUGGACUUCUACGAGAUCGAGCUCAAAGAUAUCCAAAAUCAUUUGAUGUCCAUGGCCAAGUCAUAUUGAACACUGAGUUCCUGCGUGCCGUUACCAUAGAGUAUCAGUCACUCCAAUUUAUGGGUAGCGAGUACAUGAUGCCAGAAUAUAUGCUUGAGUGGGUCAUAGGGAUGUCGUUGAGUGUCGAGGGAAAAUCAUGGGAAGGUUGUACACAUAUGUACAUUCCAGCGUGCAUCAAUGAUCCCUAUGUUACGCUGAAGAUUAUUUUUGCUGACACAACUACAUAUGUGUACGACCCAAAUCAUUCAUGUUUGACACAAGGCCAGCUCGAGCAACACCUGGAGUCCGUAGCUGUAAUUGUUCCUAUGGUAGCCAGACGAGCAGGGAUGACUAUACAGGACAGAUUGCAGAUCGUUCGGAACACGACAACAGCACGACAGUCCAUGUGGUAAGUGUUUGAACUUUGUUGUUUUCAUCUUUCAGAUUUAGUUUUUAGCUACACAGUACUGAACUGAUCCAUCUUGUUCAAUUGUAGGGGUGAUUGCAGCAUAUUUACCAUUUGUACGUUGAAUUUUUAAGUAUAGGACAUAAGGUUGAUGGAAUCAACCAAUCGUGGGUACAAAAUUGGAGAAAGAAGUUAGCUUGUGAUUUGGUCAAAUUUAAUGAUGACCCGUAAAUUUGUGUUAAAUAUAUG